UACGGAGGGAGCUAGCGUUGUUCGGAAUUACUGGGCGUAAAGCGCACGUAGGCGGCUUUGUAAGUUAGAGGUGAAAGCCCGGAGCUCAACUCCGGAACUGCCUUUAAGACUGCAUCGCUUGAAUCCAGGAGAGGUGAGUGGAAUUCCGAGUGUAGAGGUGAAAUUCGUAGAUAUUCGGAAGAACACCAGUGGCGAAGGCGGCUCACUGGACUGGUAUUGACGCUGAGGUGGCGAAAGCGUGGGGAGCAAGCAGG
rnacentral:rRNA from 1 species